rnacentral:rRNA from 1 species
GGUAGUCCACGCCGUAAACGAUGUCUACUAGUUGUCGGGACUUAAUUGUCUUGGUAACGCAGCUAACGCGUGAAGUAGACCGCCUGGGGAGUACGGUCGCAAGAUUAAAACUCAAAGGAAUUGACGGGGACCCGCACAAGCGGUGGAUGAUGUGGAUUAAUUCGAUGCAACGCGAAAAACCUUACCUACCCUUGACAUGGCAGGAAUCCUGAAGAGAUUUAGGAGUGCUCGCAAGAGAACCUGCACACAGGUGCUGCAUGGCUGUCGUCAGCUCGUGUCGUGAGAUGUUGGGUUAAGUCCCGCAACGAGCGCAACCCUUGUCAUUAGUUGCUACGAAAGGGCACUCUAAUGAGACUGCCGGUGACAAACCGGAGGAAGGUGGGGAUGACGUCAAGUCCUCAUGGCCCUUAUGGGUGGGGCUUCACACGUCAUACAAUGGUACAUACAGAGGGCUGCCAACCCGCGAGGGGGAGCUAAUCCCAGAAAGUGUAUCGUAGUCCGGAUUGUAGUCUGCAACUCGACUACAUGAAGUUGGAAUCGCUAGUAAUCGUGGAUCAGAAUGCCACGGUGAAUACGUUCCCGGGCCUUGUACACACCGCCCGUCACACCAUGGGAGUUGGGUUCACCCGAAGGCGUUGCGCUAACUCGCAAGAGAGGCAGGCGACCACGGUGGGCUUAGCGACUGGGGUGAAGUCGUAACAAGGUAACC